rnacentral:sRNA from 1 species
UGAUCCACAUGUGUGCCUUGGGUUGCAAU